GGAAUAUUGGACAAUGGGCGACAGCCUGAUCCAGCAAUGCCGCGUGAGUGAUGAAGGCCUUAGGGUUGUAAAGCUCUUUUACCAGGGAUGAUAAUGACAGUACCUGGAGAAUAAGCUCCGGCUAACUCCGUGCCAGCAGCCGCGGUAAUACGGAGGGAGCUAGCGUUGUGCGGACUUACUGGGCGUAAAGCGCACGUAGGCGGCGAUCCAAGUCAGGGGUGAAAUCCCUGGGCGCAACCCCGGAACUGCCCUUGAAACUAGGUUGCUAGAAUACUGGAGAGGUGAGUGGAAUUCCGAGUGUAGAGGUGAAAUUCGUAGAUAUUCGGAAGAACACCAGUGGCGAAGGCGACUCACUGGACAGUUAUUGACGCUGAGGUGCGAAAGCGUGGGGAGCAAAC
rnacentral:rRNA from 1 species